CGCGUGAGCAAUCUGCCUUGGAGUGGGGAAUAACGGUUGGAAACAGCCGCUAAUACCGCAUGAUACAGCUAUCCCGCAUGGGGUUGGCUGUCAAAGAUUUAUCGCUCUGAGAUGAGCUCGCGUCUGAUUAGCUUGUUGGCGGGGUAACGGCCCACCAAGGCGACGAUCAGUAGCCGGACUGAGAGGUUGGCCGGCCACAUUGGGACUGAGACACGGCCCAGACUCCUACGGGAGGCAGCAG
rnacentral:rRNA from 1 species